UGGGGAAUCUUGCACAAUGGAGGAAACUCUGAUGCAGCGACGCCGCGUGAGCGAUGAAGCCCUUCGGGGUGUAAAGCUCUUUCGACGGGAACGAUAAUGACGGUACCCGAAGAAGAAGCUGCGGCUAACUACGUGCCAGCAGCCGCGGUAAUACGUAGGCAGCAAGCGUUGUUCGGAAUUACUGGGCGUAAAGAGUGUGUAGGCGGUGUUCUAAGUCUGUUGUGAAAUCUCCCGGCUUAACUGGGAGGGUGCGGCGGAAACUGGAAUGCUAGAGGAUGGGAGAGGUAAGCGGAAUUCCUGGUGUAGCGGUGAAAUGCGUAGAUAUCAGGAGGAACACCUGUGGUGUAGACAGCUUACUGGACCAUUUCUGACGCUGAGACACGAAAGCGUGGGUAGCAAACA
rnacentral:rRNA from 1 species